rnacentral:rRNA from 1 species
GGGUUGUGAGGUUAAGCGACUAAGCGUACACGGUGGAUGCCCUGGCAGUCAGAGGCGAUGAAGGGCGUGCUAAUCUGCGAUAAGCGCCGGUAAGGUGAUAUGAACCGUUAUAACCGGCGAUACCCGAAUGGGGAAACCCAGUGUGACUCGUCACACUAUCAUUAACUGAAUCCAUAGGUUAAUGAGGCGAACCGGGGGAACUGAAACAUCUAAGUACCCCGAGGAAAAGAAAUCAACCGAGAUUCCCCCAGUAGCGGCGAGCGAACGGGGAGGAGCCCAGAGCCUGAAUCAGCAUGUGUGUUAGUGGAAGCGUCUGGAAAGGCGCGCGAUACAGGGUGACAGCCCCGUACACAAAAGCGCAUGUGCUGUGAGCUCGAUGAGUAGGGCGGGACACGUGGUAUCCUGUCUGAAUAUGGGGGGACCAUCCUCCAAGGCUAAAUACUCCUGACUGACCGAUAGUGAACCAGUACCGUGAGGGAAAGGCGAAAAGAACCCCGGCGAGGGGAGUGAAAAAGAACCUGAAACCGUGUACGUACAAGCAGUGGGAGCNNAUAGGGGAGCCGGAGGGAAACCGAGUCUUAAUUGGGCGUUAAGUUGCAGGGUAUAGACCCGAAACCCGGUGAUCUAGCCAUGGGCAGGUUGAAGGUUGGGUAACACUAACUGGAGGACCGAACCGACUAAUGUUGAAAAAUUAGCGGAUGACCUGUGGCUGGGGGUGAAAGGCCAAUCAAACCGGGAGAUAGCUGGUUCUCCCCGAAAGCUAUUUAGGUAGCGCCUCGUGAAUUCAUCUCCGGGGGUAGAGCACUGUUUCGGCUAGGGGGCCAUCCCGGCUUACCAACCCGAUGCAAACUGCGAAUACCGGAGAAUGUUAUCACGGGAGACACACGGCGGGUGCUAACGUCCGUCGUGAAGAGGGAAACAACCCAGACCGCCAGCUAAGGUCCCAAAGUCAUGGUUAAGUGGGAAACGAUGUGGGAAGGCCCAGACAGCCAGGAUGUUGGCUUAGAAGCAGCCAUCAUUUAAAGAAAGCGUAAUAGCUCACUGGUCGAGUCGGCCUGCGCGGAAGAUGUAACGGGGCUAAACCAUGCACCGAAGCUGCGGCAGCGNNGUUGGGUAGGGGAGCGUUCUGUAAGCCUGUGAAGGUGGCCUGUGAGGGUUGCUGGAGGUAUCAGAAGUGCGAAUGCUGACAUAAGUAACGAUAAAGCGGGUGAAAAGCCCGCUCGCCGGAAGACCAAGGGUUCCUGUCCAACGUUAAUCGGGGCAGGGUGAGUCGACCCCUAAGGCGAGGCCGAAAGGCGUAGUCGAUGGGAAACGGGUUAAUAUUCCCGUACUUGGUGUUACUGCGAAGGGGGGACGGAGAAGGCUAUGUUGGCCGGGCGACGGUUGUCCCGGUUUAAGCGUGUAGGUGUGUGUUCCAGGUAAAUCCGGUUCACUUUAACACUGAGGCGUGAUGACGAGGCACUACGGUGCUGAAGUAACAAAUGCCCUGCUUCCAGGAAAAGCCUCUAAGCAUCAGGUAACAUCAAAUCGUACCCCAAACCGACACAGGUGGUCAGGUAGAGAAUACCAAGGCGCUUGAGAGAACUCGGGUGAAGGAACUAGGCAAAAUGGUGCCGUAACUUCGGGAGAAGGCACGCUGACACGUAGGUGAAGUGAUUUACUCAUGGAGCUGAAGUCAGUCGAAGAUACCAGCUGGCUGCAACUGUUUAUUAAAAACACAGCACUGUGCAAACACGAAAGUGGACGUAUACGGUGUGACGCCUGCCCGGUGCCGGAAGGUUAAUUGAUGGGGUCAGCGCAAGCGAAGCUCCUGAUCGAAGCCCCGGUAAACGGCGGCCGUAACUAUAACGGUCCUAAGGUAGCGAAAUUCCUUGUCGGGUAAGUUCCGACCUGCACGAAUGGCGUAAUGAUGGCCAGGCUGUCUCCACCCGAGACUCAGUGAAAUUGAACUCGCUGUGAAGAUGCAGUGUACCCGCGGCAAGACGGAAAGACCCCGUGAACCUUUACUAUAGCUUGACACUGAACAUUGAGCCUUGAUGUGUAGGAUAGGUGGGAGGCUUUGAAGNNNNNNNNCCGGGUUGCGGACAGUGUCUGGUGGGUAGUUUGACUGGGGCGGUCUCCUCCUAAAGAGUAACGGAGGAGCACGAAGGUUGGCUAAUCCUGGUCGGACAUCAGGAGGUUAGUGCAAUGGCAUAAGCCAGCUUGACUGCGAGCGUGACGGCGCGAGCAGGUGCGAAAGCAGGUCAUAGUGAUCCGGUGGUUCUGAAUGGAAGGGCCAUCGCUCAACGGAUAAAAGGUACUCCGGGGAUAACAGGCUGAUACCGCCCAAGAGUUCAUAUCGACGGCGGUGUUUGGCACCUCGAUGUCGGCUCAUCACAUCCUGGGGCUGAAGUAGGUCCCAAGGGUAUGGCUGUUCGCCAUUUAAAGUGGUACGCGAGCUGGGUUUAGAACGUCGUGAGACAGUUCGGUCCCUAUCUGCCGUGGGCGCUGGAGAACUGAGGGGGGCUGCUCCUAGUACGAGAGGACCGGAGUGGACGCAUCACUGGUGUUCGGGUUGUCAUGCCAAUGGCACUGCCCGGUAGCUAAAUGCGGAAGAGAUAAGUGCUGAAAGCAUCUAAGCACGAAACUUGCCCCGAGAUGAGUUCUCCCUGAGACUUAGAGUCUCCUGAAGGAACGUUGAAGACGACGACGUUGAUAGGCCGGGUGUGUAAGCGCAGCGAUGCGUUGAGCUAACCGGUACUAAUGAACC